AGAGAGCCAAGUCGAGGGGAGGAGAUUGCAGAAUGAGGGAACGGCGCCCGAAGAUAGGAGAGCGUGACAACAUUUAGGUAGUAUACCAGCUGCACCGGUAGCAGGUAGCAGAAGAAGAAAUAAUGGACGAAAUCAGAGUCGAUUUGCCGCCUUCUGAUAGCAUUUACUUCAGGGUGGGAAUCAUUAACAAGAAGCUCGAUGUGGAUCAGUUCCAAAAAUGUCCAUUCUUGCCGCAGUGGGCUAUCGGGUUCUUGUCUCGGAUCGUUGAAACGGGGCAUCCAGGAAAUGCUUAUUGUUCAAAGUUUGAAUAACCUCAGAAGCUUUGUCGUUCCCUUCAAAUUAUUACCACUACAAUGAUAUGUUGUUAUAGUCGAACAUGAUGAUCAU